UGCUAGGAAGGCCCUGGAGAGAAAGUGGACCGGGCAGGGAAGGCGGGGUAUAAAAAGGGUCCACCUGAGCCUUGCAGGGCUGGUUCUCCAGACAGACAUCCUCCUGGGAACAUCUUAAAGACUGAGUGAGGCCAGGUCAGGGAUCGACUGAACUUUCAGAUCAGCCCAGCCCUGUAUCCCUGUUUGACUGCUGGGGGCGGGGGCAGGGGGGAAACAACACAGGGCCCAGGCCUGGCUGCAGGCAGGAGCUGGCACCUUGGGCCACCCCUCCCCCACGAGUUCUGCCAUUACUGGAAAUGUGGAAACCUCCUGGGGUCUUGUAGAACUGACUGCUGGUAAGUCCCCUCCCCAGUGGCUCUACAGUAACUCCCAGGGGCCUGCUGUGCUGGCAGCCCCAGCCUGGGCCCCCACACCCAGUCCCUGCUGCAGGUGGCUUCUUGAGGGCAAUGGGAGUGGGGGAUGGGUAAAGGGGUUCCCAGGCCAGUGGCCUCUGCCUCUCUGAUGCCAGGGGCUUCCUGGGGAAGAGGGACCACAAACAGGAGGGUGUGUGGGCUGGGGGAGUGGGGGCAACUUCCCUCUGUUCUCUUCCCAGAAGGGAGGAAGCUCAAUUUUAGAUGCCGCAGCAGCCCUGUUCUUUCCUGGUUAUCAAAAUUCUGAAGUCCUCCCUUCAGCCUCAACCUUCUGAGUCUUUCGAAGGAGAAAGAGUCAAGUGGUAACCUGGAAAUAUCCAUCUGACCCUAGAGGGCACCUAUAGACCAGCCCUCCAGAUCCUGGCCCUGCAGUGGGCCUCAGGAGGCGAAUGAAUGAAUGAUGAAUGAAGCAGUGUCAGGAAUCCUGGGCUCACAGCAGGCUUCCAGCAUCCCUCAGAGAGAAUGCAGGGGAGCACAAGUCCAGAUCUGGAGAGUUCUGCGCCAAGCAGGACUCAGGGAAGCUGUCUGGGUCAGCUCAUCCUGACCGUGGAGCCAAGCAAUGGAAGCCAGGAUUCCUGAGCAUCGCCCAAGGGAACAGAAAGGAGUCAGGUUCUUCCCAAGACCGGAGGCAAGGGUAGCGGGUAUCUGCACACACGUGUGUUUGGUGAAUGUACCCAAGUGUGUGCCCAUGGAGUCCAGAGGACAAAGGGUGUGGUUCUCAGUCCUUCCUCAUCUCUCCCACCCCACAGCACUGGGAUUACAGCACAGCACGUAUGUAUGUAUGUAUGCAUGUAUGUAUGCAUGUAUGUGUGCAUGUACAUGCAUGUAUCUGUAAAGGUGUGUAUGUACAUAUGUGCACAUGUACGUAUGUGUAUGUGUGCAUGUAUGUGUGCAUGUGUGUGCACGUGUGUAUGUGUGUGCAUGUAUGUGUAUGUAUGUGCAUAUAUGUGUACAUAUGUAUGUGUGUGCAUGUGCAUGUAUGUGUAUAUGUGGUAUAUGUGUACAUGUAUAUGUAUGUGUGCAUGUGUGUGUAUGUAAUAUGUAUGUGUGUGUAUAUAUGUAUGCAUGUAUGUGUAUAUGUAUGUAUGUGUGUAUAUAUGUAUGUGUGUAUGUAUGUAUCUAUUUACCUAUUUAUUUAGUUAAUUUUUAAUGUGUGUGCUGGGGACUUGAACUCAGGUACUCAGCAAGAGCUCCUACCCACUGAACUGCUCUCCAGCCCCAUUUCUGCUCCCAAUCUAAUACCCCCCACCAGCAGGGAGCCAGCUGCACCCCAGGCCCAUGCUGCUACAUUCAUUUAUCCAUCCAGUGCUGGGAGCAUCCAUGGCAUUUCUUGAUCUGAGAGGCAAAGAGGACCCAGAGGUGUUCAGGGUGCACCUUUGCCCCUUCGUGUCUCCAGCAUCCAGCCCUUCUCCCCACAGGGUGCUGAGGAUGGCGGUUCCACGGUGGAUCCCCUCACUAGAGUACACUCUGGUCCUGUGGGCACACUGGGCACUCAAAGUGACUAGCAGGCUCCAAAGUUCCCAAGGGAUCCUUGGACCUGUGGGGCUAGAGAGAACGGAGGCACAAUGACCCACUCAGGUCAUUAAAGCCUCGUCAGUACCAGUUCCAAGAAAGAGAAACCCAUCUCACACCAGCUUCAGCCAAAAGGAGGCUCACAUGUACAGCUGAGGCCCAAGACACCUUCACCCACUCGGGCAGCCACCAUGAACAAUGGUGUAAUGGAGCUCAGCAGGGUCUUGAGAAGCUCAGGUUGAAUUCCAAUCGAUGUACAGUUGAGGCUGGCCUUGAACUUCUGAACCUACCUCGGCAUCCUGAGUGUUGGUUUGGCUGGUGUGCACCAUUGCAGAUGGCCGUAUGAAGUACUUACUGGGCUUAAACUCAGUGCUCUGGGCUAGACGAGCCCUGUACCCAUGGAGCCACAUCCCCAGUCCACAUGACACCUCCCAUAUGCUGUCCCGCCAGGAGUUAGGCUGACAGACUUGGACAGUGGGAGCUCAGGGAGCACAAAGCUGAGAGCUGCUGCGUUUCACGGGGGACAGAGCUGUGCUUGGUGAAGAUGGACGGGUCAGGAAACGGUGGCAGUUACGCAAUCCAAAUUACUUGACACCGCGGAAUUGGACACUUUGGAAUGGUUAAGAUGGCAUGGUUUACCACAAUUGGAAAAAAAGCUCAGAAAUUACUUUACCAGGAAACAGAGGAUGAUUAGACAAAUACAGGGGACAUUAAAACCGUGGGGCCCAAGUGGGGGUGUUCCUCAAGCCUGCGGACAAUUCAAAACAUUUGUGGAGGUUUAAGAAAGAUGGUACCCCCCCAGGGGGGUGAGAGAUGGCUCAACUGCUCUUCCAGAGGUCCUGAGUUCAAUUCCCAGCAACCACAUGGUGGCUCACAACCAUCUGUAAUGGGAUCUGAUGCCCUCUUCUGGUGUGUCUGAACACAGCUACAGUGUACUCACAUACAUGAAGUAAAUCUUUAAAAAAAAAAGAUGUCCUAGUAGCCUUGGCAUUUGAAUGCUCAGUCCCCAGUCGUUGGUGCUGUUUGGACAAUUCAGUCAGUGUGGCCUUGCUGAGGGAAGUGUCACUGGGGCGGUGCCUUGAGAAGACUCCGCCAUCCCCUUCUCUCUCUGCUUCCUGUUUGAGGUUGCGAGCUCUCAGUUGCUCCGGCCAGUAGUGUCUCUUCCCUACCCUCAUAGUGAAGGACUCCAAUCUCUCAGGAACCAAGGACCAAAAAGCACGGCUGAAGCCAGGCAUGGUGGUGGACGCCUUUAUUACCAGCGCUCAGGAGGCAGAGGCAGGUGGGUUUCUGUGAGAGUUUGGAGCCAGCUUGGUCUACAUAGUGAGUUCCAGAACAGCCAGGGCUACACAGAGAAACCCUGUCUUAAGAACAAAAACAAACAAACAAACAACAUAAAAAAAAAAUGUAUAGCUGGCGAAACAUCUCAGAGGGCAAAGAUGUUUGUGGUGCAAGCUUGGUGCCUGAGUUCGCUCCCUGGAACCCACAUAAAGGUGGAAAGAGAGAACCAAUUCUACAAAGUUGUCCCCUGACCUCCACAUGGGCACAGUUGCCUGAGUGCAUGCAUGGUCAUCAAACACACGGACAUUGGUAAUCAAAGUUAGAACAAAACAAG